AGCGGAGGAGGGAGGCGAGGCCAGGCGAGGCCAGGCGAGGCGACACGGGGCGCGGCAGGACAGUGGGGAGGGAAUGGGAGAAUUUAGAGGCCGGGUCAGAGGUCACGGGAACCUCUCCCAGUCCGCCCUGGCAUUUAGAUUUCUGCUUUGUACACAGUUGGGCGUUACAUUUGCAGGGCCUUCUCACAUGGAAAUGGCCCCGUAGUCAUGUCCUUGGCAACCAGCAGGCCUUGUUUGUGCCAGGAACAGACAGGUGGCCAGAGAUACAGCUGGAGGGAUGGGCAGGAACGCCGGAGCUCAGACAGACCCCAAAUCCUCGCCACCACAGGUAUCUGCAGGCUCCUCCAUUUUUCAGAUUUGUCUUACAUUUUGAAAUAAUAAAACGAAAUGACAAGAAAG
rnacentral:lncRNA from 1 species